GUCUGAAGAAGCCUUAUCAACACAAACUCUAAGAGCUAUGGUAGGGCUGCUAUAGAGGACUUUAGUAGGCAGUUCUGUUAUGAUGUAAGUUGAAGGAGAAAUUUUAGCCUAUUGUCUCUGGGGUACUUUGCAUGAUGAACAAAGAGGCAUGUUCAAGGCUUAGUUCUUCAUUUCAAUUUUAGGAUUACAGGUACCUGAUAGCAUUAAUUCCCAUGUGUAGGAGAUCAGCAAGAAUCUACAGAUUUGAGUGUCUGGGGCAGAGAGGCUUUAUCAGAAUUCAGAUUAACAACUGCUCUGUUAAGUAGAAAGAAGCCCUGCGAUGUGCAAACCCAGAGCAGCACAAGGAGCAGUUUUUCAGAAAUGUGUGGGAAUGAUUUCAAAGACACCAUCAGCACAUCACGUCACUGCCUCCAUGGUAUGUAUCAUCACAAAUGAACAUAUAUCUGGGCUAUGGGAUGUGUCUUCCCCUCCCUCGUGUGAAAACCCACUCACAUUAUGA
rnacentral:lncRNA from 14 species